rnacentral:lncRNA from 1 species
GUACCACGUGGGCCAGGCGCCCCGCAGCCUGAUCCCUCGGCUGAGGCGGGGUCAGAGGGCUAAGGGUGACUGACUGCCCAGUGCAUGGAUCUCAGCAGCACGGCUUGACUUUCGGGCGGCAGGCAAGGAUGCUAAUCCACAAGGUUCCUGAGUCCAACAUCCCUCCCUCCAAUGUGGGGCUCGAAUCCGCUAUUGCAACCAAACCCGGGUUCUGCCCGCAGGGUGGCGCAAUGACAAGAGCCACCAGGUGACCCUGGUAACUCCCGCACCUAGCGCCUAGAGAGAAGGCGGAGAGUGCUCAGGGUCGGAGAGGGGACGUUUCUCCCGAGGCGAGAGCCAAGCCUGACUCCGAACCGCGCCCGAGGUCGCCCCCGCGACUUGCCUCCCAGCCCGGAGGUCUCCAAGUGCAGCUAGGAGUCUCUCGCCAAACUCAAAGGAGGCGAUGUACCUGCCACCCUAAGCUUGUCUGGGUGGCAUAGAGCUGUGGCUCUCGAGAGCUCGGUAACCCUAAAGGAAGCCACCUGUUUCCCAAGCCCGUGGAGGCGGCUGCAGGGAAGAACUGUGGUCUCUAAUAAUCUCCAUCUCCACCCAAGCCACCUACAGGAGCAGUUUUUCUGCAGCACCACAUCUGUAGCCCUGCAUGCCGCUGGCUCCAGUGUUGUGUGUGUGGUCAUGCUCCAUCCAGCCCAGCAGCAACUUUGGUGUUUGACACCCCUCGGGAGGCACCGCUUUGGAAGAGACUGGUAACAGCAGGGUGGGACCGGCUACUUAGCUGUUCUCAGUCUGAAAGGAUUCUGGAAAGGGGCUCUAUUUAACCCAAGCACUGGAGUCCAACACAGCCUCUGCCGUGUGACAGGUGUGUGCGGAGCCCAAGAUGUGUUGGGAACAGCUAUCGUUUCUACUGCUUUGUCCCAUGCCUCUGGAGCUCCUGGGUUCCUGAACUUCAAGCUGGGCCCCAUCCUUCACCCUAUCAGGGCCCUGGGUGGAGCUGACUUCCAACAGUAUACAGUGGGUCUUGGUACUUCCUCCUUGGCAUUCGACAGUUGGUGUUUUUGAAGUCAGAGCCAUCCUCAGUAGGCUCCUAGGGGAUCGUAAGCGGCUUUCUCUGGGUGGAAACCUACUCCAUGCAGCCUUCAGCAAAGGAUCCUACGGCUGUUGAUCCCCUCGGAAGUGAGACAUAAUGUCCCGGAGCAGAUGCUGAUGGGGACUCACUGUUGGGCCACCUGAUUUCUGUGUUCAUCUUCCCAGGCUCCACCUUUCAGAUCCCAUCCCUGGUGUCUGCAGUUACAACUUUACUAACCAGAACUUUGUUUCCAGCUUACGCUGAAAAGCAAAGGGUGACUUAGAAUAAAAAUGUAACAAAUAGCCCCAUAGCCCAAACCUUUUCUGCCAUGAUUUACUGUACCAGAUACCUAUAAGUGUCCAGGGCAAAUUAAACACAUCAAUAAAUGGCUUUCUUGUGUC